UGUCUCCUAAGGUCUCUCACUCCCUCCCUCUCUCUCUCUCUUUUUCUCCACCACUCACUUGCCCUCUCCCAGCCUUUAAAGUUCCGUUUGGUACACUUUCACUCUACCUUCUUGCACUCCUCCGUCUCUGUCCCUCCCUUUCUCUCAGUGGUACCCCCACCCCUCUUUUUCUUGUCUUCCUUGUUUUGCUCUCACUCUGAUAGCGUGUCCCUGCCAUGUGCUUGACUGUCCCUCUCUCUGGCCUCGGCAGUUUGCUCUCUACGCGAAGACGAGAGCUUGGCCUCGGCAUCCCCCUUCCUUUUUUCGCACGACCUCACUCGGGCUCUUUCGUUUUUAUUCUUGGAUUCUCCCAAGCUGCUCCUGCCAAGCUACGCUGAAGUUUGAGCAUGAAGGCAGAGGAAGAAAUCCACCGACUAACUGUAUCUGUGUGCGUGCGUGCGUGUGUGCGUGUGUGUGUGUGUGUGUGUGAUAUCAUCAGUCUGCAAGUGUUUAUGCGGGACUUUGCACUGCAAAUUGAAGCAACCAGGUAGAAAGUCAUCGAGAAGCGGCAGAGGCGGCACUGCGAGGGAGUUGAACGGGUUCAUCCGUGAGUGAGUGAGUGUGUGUGAGUGAGCGAGAGAGCGGGAGGAAGCUGAGCGAGGAGUGGGAGAAUCUGGCCGACUACAGCUGUCGCAGGCGCCAUCUGAAGACCAGACAACUUUCAUUUUCCUUCUUUUUUUUUUUGAAUUUGUGAUGUUGCUUUAUUUUCUAUUGUACAUGUGUGUCUUUGUGUCAGUGCGCGCGCGGCGAUGCGAUGGGGCUGCACUCGUUGCCCCCUCGUCUUCCUCCACAUGGAAGCCGCCGAGACCGACGGCUAGGACAGCGUGCCUCCCCUUUGUGGCUGCCCUUGGGCCGACUUGCUCCUAUGCUGGGUGCGGCACUGCAGCGCGCCUUCCUUCGGGGGAGCGCUGGGAGGCCCCCGGAGGGCCAAGCUGCACCGGAGAGGGGAUCCCAACUGUAAGUACAGGGGCCUCAGACCCUCCCCUUCCCUCCCUCCCCACCUCACCCCCAAAACCCCCCAGCUCACUGCCUCUAUUCAUUCACAUGUGCGCACCGAGGAAGGAAUGUUGCCCCCUCACUUUUGCCUCUUUCACGCACGCUCCCUCUCUCCACUUGUGUCUUUUUUGCUCCUUUCUUCUUCUUUUUCCUCCUCCUCCUCCUCCUUAGCACAUUGCCAGUUCCGUUCCUUUUCCAAACGAGUCUCAUGGACACGUCGGAAAGAUAAUCAGAUGUUAUCGAUAGUGUUUAUUAGUUGUCAGCUGGAUCACAGCGGCUUGUUUAGAGGCUGCACUGGGCGGGCUGGAGGGGAGCGUGAGGGGUGGGGGCGAUGGAGAGGGGCCACUGUGGGGUCUGGCUCCCCUCAGUAUUGAAGUGUACAACUGUAGCGUGCUGACUCAUGCUCCAUCUUACCAAUUGGGAGCAUGUGAGUGCGUGCGUGAGUGUGGUCACUCCCCUGUGUGUCUCACAUGCGCAAUUGCACUCUGUGCCCCGCCUGAACUCAGCACUGACUGUAGACUGGGGCGGGGGUAGCGAGCACCCCCCCCCCCACACACACACACACCCGCCCCCCUUCCACUAGUGACAAUCUAUCAAAACCUCCCUGUCUGGAACAAAAAGAGCCAGUUGCAGCUCUAGCCCAUGUCUUGUCCAUCUCUAUUUUUUUCUUCCCUUUCACUCUGUUGUUGCGAGUGAGAACAAGAUUUUUUUUUUUUUUCUGGGCUUACGUGGAAUGGGAAGAAGGAAAGACUUUAAGUGGCAUAAAGACAGAUUAAGGAGUUUCAAGAACAAUGUUCCUUUUUUCUUGUAACUCGAGCCCGACGCAGUUACAGGAGAGCGGCGAGGCAAUUUUACUCGCGCUGGGGUCAGCAGGGGCGUUCGGAGGGAGGACGGUGGGGGUUGCGACGUGUUUUAUUACCCCUGAUCUUUAUCUGUCCUGCACACGGAGCUAGAUGGCUCGCCGGCUUACGGCACAGGGGCCAACUCGUGGUCUUUCCGCGGAGGGCUGGACGGUGGCCGGGUUGCGAUGUCAUCGGAGCCGAGGAUCACCUCAUCACGGAGGCUUUCCGACUUUCAAGUUCAAGUUGCGUCUGGACUUUGCCGCUCGUCCUCGUGAGUGCGUUCGAGCUGCUGUGUUGUUCCUAGAACUGCUGGGAGUUGAUUCAUUCUUCAAAUUCAUUCUUUUCCACUUCUGUCAUUUUCCGCUGAGCCCGAGUAGUUUCACGAGCUGCCGUGACGGCGUUAUUGUUCGAGACCAUGCCGCGCGCCUCUUCUGGCGCUCGUCUCGCCGCCUUCCUAGCCCAAACGAUAAAACACGGCCCCCGUGUCGCCCCUUUUUGUCUGCCCUUAUUGUUGUGCCCGCGGGAAGGGAGCAUGAGUCAGCUAGCAGUAUUGAUGUAUCGUCGUUGCAUGUGUGCCGCCUUUUAUCUCUGGAUUGUGCAUGGAGCUACCGGUAAGUGCUUCUCCUGUAACCUUUGACCCCCCCGCACGACGACUGUAACCUUGCGCUCGGCAUUCAUCGAAAAUGUCUUUUUUUGUGUGUGUCUAUUUUUGUUUCUCGUACGUGUCGGUGAAGGGUUCUAUUUUCUUGUGUACCGCCGCCACGCUGCGCCGGAUUGAGCGCAGCAGGCGCUCGAGCCGGCACAAGCGAGAAAGGCGAGGAGGAGGAGGGAGGGAGGGGAGGAAAAAAAAAAAGCCUCAAUCGAGCGCACAGUGAAAAGCGUCUGUGCCGUUACCUCAGCUGAACCCGCCAAUGAACCCGUUGCACUGCCUUCGGUCGCAGCGCCAAGAGACGAAUCACUCGAGUAGAUUGGAAACAGAGCGGUACUGUUGGACGGGCUGACGCCUGCGCCGGGAUCCGGCUCGCCACCCGACGUUGCCGCUCGCCACUGUCACGGUAAGUGGGAUUAUUCGGCUUUUGUUCUGUCGGGGGCGUCAUCGGCGUGCGCUGGUCACUCUCCCGGCCUGUCACAUAGCUUAUCAGACUGGUGUUGGCUGUUAAGAUUACAAGGCGACAACAGUCUGUAGGCUGUCUGACAUUCCGGGCUCUUUCAUCUGACCAGCAUCCUGUUAUGUCCUCCUCCUCCUCCUCCUCCUCCUCGUCGUACUACUCCUCUCUUUGUCUCAGUUCCCAUUUCAGGGUGGGUGCGCUACCGUGAUACUUCCCUUUAUCCCAACCGUCCGUCAAGCAUGCAAAUGAUGCUUUGAUUGAUUUCCCCAACUCGAAUGCAUUCAUGUGCGCGAGCGCAGAUGAACGCAGGUCAUUUGUGGGUUUGCGAGCCGGCUGCGUGCUCUUGAAUUUCCAGAGAAUCCAGACAGCGCACACACAUGGUUGCAACACACGCUAUUGUGACAGUGUAGUACGCACGCACUCUUCCCUUUUACACUUCCCUGUCCUCAACUCUCUACUCUUGCUAAAUGUUUUUUUUAUUUUUUUUUUUAACACACUAUCGGGACAACUUUUAAGGGGGCAUUUUGGAGAAAGGCGAAAAAGUCAGUCAAUCUCUGGUGAUUUAUUUUCAAGCAGACUUUUUCUGAUCAUAAAAGCACGUUGGAUGGCUCAGACUGCUUUUCUUUUGUGAUGAGCCUCCCUCGGCCCUUAUAAAUAUGUCCACAUUUGAUCCGCUUUAUAUUCUGUAAAAGCAUGUUGUACUGUGUACUUGAAUUAUUGCUGAAGGCUGUAUUUUGUUUGUUUUUUUUUACUUCUAAUAAAGCAUACUUUAAAAAAAAAAGAAAAAAGUGUCUUUUUGAUUUUGCUUCAAGCGUUGACCACACAGAGCCAGACGGUGGGUGACCCUGAAGCCUCUCAAGAAUCUCACAUGUCAGCCAAGAGAGGACGAGGAGGAUCCAUCACCACUUAGAUAGUCACAUCUAAUGUUUCACAUUCAAGCGCUUAUCACAUUACUGAUUUGCUCUCUCUACGCUGACAUCAUCUCCAUUUUGGAUUGCAAGUAAAAUCUUGUUUAUAGCACUUAUGCUUUCUUCAAACAUGUUAGUAUCACACCACUUGACUUUGAGACACCAUAAAAAGUAGU